GUCAUCAUUUCUGGCCUAAUCUAUUCUCACACAGCUGGCUCCCUCGCAGUCCUUCAACCUAGAUGAAGAGAGAAAGGGGGAAAGAGCAUUCAAAUCCCAAGUCAGGCGCUCAAAAUGAGAGAAGGCUUUCCUGCCCCGAGAGGUGUUGUGAGGGGUCUGGUGUGACAGAUUUCAGCCAAUGCUGCAGAAAGGCAAGAGCUCCCCUCAGCAGAUAUCUGCAUGUUGCCGGACACUAAGGAAUCAUUCAAAUAAGAUGAAUACAUGUGCUCUUUUUUGUGUUCUCACCACCUCCGCCCAUCAUUCUAAGCCCACAUUUUAUCUUUGGAGGAAAAUUACGUGAUGGAUUCCAGGUCUGCCUGAUUCCAAAUCCCACGUGUUCAGGCAAAUGUCUACCCAGGAGGUGGCAGCGAUGGCCACAGCAGUUAGAGACAUUUGUUCCAGUAGCUCUGCAUUCAGACAGGGAAGGGGUGCCUCUCCAAGAGUCCUAGUGGAAGUUCUGGGGAAUGCUCUCGUGGCGCGUGCUUGGCCCAGGGAAGCAAUCAGGACAGCUCUGUGUGCUUUGGCCAGGCCAGAGUCAACGUCCGCACUUGGAACUGGAGGCGAAGGGCCGGUUCCCCAACCUGAAACAUAUGGACUGAGGGGUGGAAGGAGAGUGGUCCCCUACAGCACAAAAUGAGUCCUGUUACCAAAGAAGGGGAGAGGGAUAGUGGGCAGGCAAAAAUAACAGUUGUGCACGAGAGUUCUCUUGUCCACGAGUCCUAUAAUCUCUAUGCCUGCCUCCAAGGUGCGGACUGGCCACUGGGCACCAUCCUCCAGGCCUCAGUCUACACACUCACUCCGUGACGCUUCUUCCCGACAGUUUCUCAAGGCUGUUUCUUGUUUUAAGUAGUUUGUUUUUUUCUUUUAAAUUAUAAACAUAAAUGAUCAUGAUAAAAAAAAUUAUAAAAUGGAAAGAAAGAUCUCUCCCUCAUCCCCUAACCACCAACCCCUCAUCCCUAAGGUGACCCAAACUGUA